rnacentral:tRNA from 1 species
GCCUGAUGUAGCUUAAAACAAAGCAGUGGUCUUGUAAACCACAGCCGGGUUUUCUUACCCCACAGGCC